GAGAAAGUGGAGAGCUGGAGUGUGUUUUAAAAGUCACAAUAUUAUUUGUGUUGUGUGCGAUGCGGGGGGCGCGCUCCAAGGCGAUCCAAAUUGAGCCUGUAAUUUGAUUGAAAAAAAUUUGGACAGGAAGAGGACAGAAAAUUUCUUCCUGAGCUACCCUGAGCUGCUGCGGAUGACGUGCCGCCGAACUGAUGAGCCACGAGGACCAGUACCGAAACAGGGUGAAAAAAGGUGCUACCUGUUCAAGAAGCUGAAGGAGCUGCGCAAAAAAGGCGCAAUGGUUGUCCAACCUGUGCAACGUGAAGCAAGUCGGCGAAGGAGCAGCGCCACUUUGCAUGGAGUUCCCAUCCUGCGCAACGAAAUCAACAUUUUCCUGCUCGAGGGCGGAAGGCAGUAGUUAGUUGUUUCCCUCCGACAUCAGCUGAUUCUCUUUUUUCUACGCGUUCUCACACUGAUUUUUCUCUUUAGAAAUGAACAGUUUGCAAUUUAUCAGUUUUGUUGCGAGACUCUAAUUUGUGAUCUUGGUUCAAAACUUAAAACGUUUCAGCCAAUAAAACGAUGGAUAUAAUCUAUUUUUUAAUAGAAA